CGUCCGCCUGCCAGCCGGUUGUCCACGGCGGAAACGGUUGACAGCUCGCGUCCUUCGCGACGCCGCUCCUUCGGCCCGUAAGGAUCGCCCGAUCGUUCCGUCGCACCGUCGUUUGUUGCGGUGACAACGCGACGAGAGCCAACGUUUCCCGAGCCUCGCGGGGGCACGAGGAACGUCGCCGCGCGACCUUGCCCCGGCCGCGUCGAAACUCGCGCGCCCCGCCGUCGUCGUCGCCACGGGGCCGCCACGUCCGUUUUCCGGGACCGCUCUUGGAUUUUCCGCGACGCGUCCGGCGACGGGUCACUCGCGCUCCGGGCUCGACCGCCACGGGAUCCGCGGGGAUGAGGGAAGAAGGAGGAAGGAAGCGCGGGGACUGUCGUCGGGAGCUGCCAGAAUUAAAGAUUGCAUGUGCGUGUGAUGUGCGUGCGACCCGCGCAAGAGCUCAGGUGAUUUCGAAUGGGAUGGGGUGAGUCUUUCCACAUUUAUCUAGAAUAAAAUUAGAAGAAUUAAUUAAAGUAGGAAAGAUGGUGCAUACAUUUUCGUUUUGACAUGAUAUGAAAAAUGCUAAAGUCACCGUCGAGCAAAAUAGAAAAGUCAUUGUGAACGAUAUAGUCAAUUGAUGCAUUUGCUACCAAAUAUUGUUACAUUCAAUACUUUAUCAAUUAUAUAUCCUUUGAUAAUAGUUACAUUUUCAAUAUUUGUUACGAAUCUUUUUAUUUUCUGUGUCAUUAUUUAAUUAAUGACACGAUGUCUUCUAACUUAAUUAAUACAAUAGAUCAUAAUCCGAGAAAUGAUGAUGAUAAUUCCAUGUAAUUCCUGAUUGAUUCCACAUCAGUUCGAGAUUUUCAAACGAAGAAAAUGCACCAUCUCUCUCUUUCUGCUUUUCGCGAAAGUUUAGAAGGGGGACAAGAAGAAAUGGUGCAUGGUUUAUGACGGAUCGCGGACGAAAUUCUGGCCCGCUCUCAUCUGUCCCGUUUCUUCGAGGCUCUCGCUGGAUCCUCUUGCUGAUUAUUAGCGCGUAGUCUGGGAGCCGUCUACGGGUCGACGUCCGGCGUCCCAGAAUAGAAGCACCGCGCGAUGCUCGUCACAUUCUGUCACCUACGAAAGUGUCGCACGUUUCUCGAACGCGCUACUGGGUCUCGCGAUUUCCGGGGCAACGCUUCGCAACGAGAAAAAAAAAACUCGAAACGUCUGUGGACGUUGCGUGAAAUUUCCAUGGAAUUGCAUCAAUCUUGAAAAGUUUCAGGAACUUAUAUAACGGAUCAUUGUGCGUGCAAUUUCAGCAACUUGCAAAUAAUUUCUAGGAAAAGUAAAAUAUACGCGGAAUGUCGCUUAAAUCUGUUCCCGCGAUACACCCAUAAAUGACAAAGUCUUACGGACAAUUUGUUGGAAACAAAACUCGGAAUCGAUGCUGUAGUUUCUGAAUGAAAUAUGUUUGAAAUUGGCCAGUUAGAUUGUUUGAGCUCCGCGCGCUUGGACACAGUACAUUACCGAGCACUAAUGAUCAUCAAUUCAAAAACGCGAUCACAAUUCUAGGUUGAACCUCACGUUUAUUACGGUUACAUCAUCUCGCCGGCGAUGUUACCCUACUUUUUUUUCCGGUCAUCCGAUAAUACGUCACGAUGAUCAUCCCGGUUAACCAGUCAUCCUCCUCGAAGGGCAGGUGCGUAGAUCUGUUUUGUACGUAAGGGAAAAGGGCAGCUGCUUGCUCCUAGACACAGGGAGGUGAAGGGCAAGCAAGUAGCGGGGAGGAGGAGGAGGAGGAAGGGCGAGAAAGAGAGGUGGCUCGCUGCUAAGGUAAACGAUAUAAUGGGGACGUAACAGUGGGUCCUUUGCAGUAGCAGAUGUCCUGGCCGAGACACGUGCCUGCGACGUGGAGGCCCCCUUUUUCGGGGGCUCUCCUCUGUCUCCGCGCUCAUAUCACGCUCGAAAAGAAACGAGAGCGAAGAACCCCCGAAAAGAAGGGGCCCCCGUAGUGGUAAGGCCGCGCGUUCUCCGUUGCGUCGCUUCCUGCCUUUCUUCCUUCCUUGCUUUCCGUCCGUGUCUCGUUUUUCCCCCCCUGGCCAAGGGGGGACACACCAGCUGCUCUCGUUAUACAGCGGAUUUCGCACCGGUGUAACAGCGAGUCCGUUGCUUCGCGGUCUAUUGUAUCUGCGCGACAAUAUUUCGCACGGGUUUUACCCGGAGAUACCGUCUUCCAGUAUUUUCUGCAAGUUUAAAGGAGUUUUAGUAUGCAAGAUCAAAGCAAGCUAGUAGAAAUUAAUAAUUAACAAAAUAUUAAUGCUCUUGUUAAUAAAUUAAGUUUUAACAAGAGAUUAAUGAUGGCAAUAAAAAUACCUUUUCACGUGUAGAAAAAUUUUCGAAAGAUGGAUACCUCAAUGUCCUCCAAAAAAAUUAUUUAAAAACUACUUUUGUAAUUCAAGCGAUCUCAGGAAAUUUUUGACGAGCGAUACACAGGAUUUCUAGGACAUCUGUGUACAUGGCUGAGUCUGUGAGGUCUUCAUGAACCGCAUUGUAUUAUAUUCUUUGUAGUAGUGCCACUGUGCCACCGCGCUUCUCGAUUUCUCGGAUGCCAUUUCAAUCCAGCUACAAAUCUCUGUAUUCUGAAUUGCUAGCAAAAUUGCCAGCGACAAAGGGGACGUUAAAGAAGAUUCGAGGCAAGUUUGAUACCGACCGCACUCAACUUCAAGGAAGGCAGAAUAUCCAUACCGUGUCAAAUUCUUCUGAAAAGUAAACGUUUAGUUUUACUGAGCGUUUCGUGGAAAGCUCGUCGUCUUUUCUUCUCGGCUUGAGAUCGGAAUUUCGAUCGAAAACGAUUUAAACUUCAAACAAGUUUUGUAAUAAAGUGCGCUACGUGCGGCGCAGUUUCUCACGGGUAUCAAAUGUGAAAUAGCAACGGAUUGAUACCAAAACCGUCGAUCUCAAGCAGAUGCACUGACACACUUACACAUGUGCAUAUUAUACUGUGGGGAGAAGCAAGCAUGUAAUUCAUUUUGAACUCACUUCUCACAACAAGAUAAAACUCCAUGAACUAUAUCGCAUUCUCGCGUCUUUUUAACGCCCAGAUUACAAUUAAUCGAAAUGCAGUUUCGCAAGACCCCGUAACAGAUCUUAUUCUCGUCCUUGUUAAAUGAUCUAUAUUAAACGACCUCGUCAUUAAAGAGUCGUAAUGAUGUUCCUGCGGUUCGCUUAUAACAAGUCUCAAUUCAGUUUCCGCGUAUCGCACGUUUAAUGUGAGCUUUACGCCGCUUCGUCUGAGAGCCGCUGCGCGCCGUGCGACUUUUUGAGUCGCAUUGGUCCCACGCCGGGACUAUGGACGAUGUGUAUACGUAUUCAUACACACGUACACACUCACACGCGCGUACGGGGCCACAUAUACGUGCAGUGCACGCGACUGAUGCACUCGCGCGCGGUUACGCACAUACGCCUACACGGUGGAGCCCCGUUUUACACACGCCGCGGGUACAUUACGUGCGAUAUAUCGAGCGCGCAUUCCCGCUCGAUACCAUUACGCGACCGGCUCGUCGAUACUCGGCAAAUGUGGUCGCAUGAUAGUGUUCCUGUGCAUGAUACUCAACGCGAAAGUCUGGUCGAGAAAUGAGAAAUGUAUUCGGUUAGAACUGAACUUUAGCUUGAAUUCAGCUCUAAAUGUUUCAAUGUCCAAAUCAUUCGAACGGUUUUGACUUUGAGCUGAAGCCGUGAAUCGUUCGGAUUUUUUGAACAGUUUAAUCUGAAAGUUUGUCUCCGCACAGUUUGAUCCUGAAUUUCGAUAAAAUAAUCAAACGUAGCUGUAUUUAUCGUGAGAAACGAUAAAUUGAACGAUAAACUAAUUGAAUUAUGAAAGAAAAUAAACGAACUAAUUGAAUAACUCGAUUAUCGCUCGAUUUGUAUUAUUUCCGUAUCGCAAUAAACGUUGAUACGAUAAUUAUCAAACACACUGUUGAACAUGUUUCUCGUAAAUAUGUUACACGAUGCAAAUUCUAGCAAAAGAACUCACAAUCAUGAAGUAAUACCCGCAUUGGCUUACCCGCUUGCAAUUACACAUUAUAUGGGCGGUAUGCAUAAACGAUGAUAUUCUUCUGCUUAUACAGGGUGUUCCAUCUUAUUAGCAAAUUAAAAAAUCAUCUUUCCAAAAGAGAACAUGAUUCAUUCAUCUUCCUCAGAAGAGAUUUUUUGGCAUUAUUUCCUGUGGUUUCUCAAAGUUAAUAAUAACUAUGUUGUUGAGUGAUUACAAACCUAAAUAUUACUUAAAAUAUAUUUGUUAAAGUCUCUUGAUUUAAAAUUUUAAUUAGAUUGGAGCUUUUCGGCUUCUAACAUAAAAUUAUUCCGUAAAAUCUGGAUUUAAAUCCUCAUCGAGAAAUAUUCACCUCCAAGUUGUCACAAAAUAUGUCACUGCAGAUAGAUUAUCAUCUAUUUAUGAUAUGUUCCACGAAAUUAACAUGGAUAAUAGCUUUAUAAGAAUUAUCUGCAAUGCACCGUGUUAUUAAUCCAUGAAUCCGUGAAUCUAGAACAAAAGGACAAAAUAUUGAGAACCUCUGCAUCUACUUUGAUUCUGCUUCCUUCGACCCGAAUGCAGUGACCCGUGCUAACGAUUGCGAAUAGCAACGAUCGAUCUUCACGAUCUAGAGUGCUAUGCCGAGCGAAGAAGUCGAAGACCUUUCUUCGUGAAAGUUUCUAUAUCGAAAUUCCGUGCGCGCGCGCGUUAUAUCAAACCGUUUCGUUUCUUUUCAUACAGUUUUUCGCUCACUGCGCUCUGUCCGGUUUACUUCAAUAUCCUGUCGACGGCUUUGAAAAUAUUUGCUUUCGAAUAGUCCAUGAGUAAUUGCAAAUAAAAAAGAAAACGCGGAAUAGAGUAAACCAUCAGAAUAUUAUUACCAAACCAAAUGAAAUAUGCGACACGUUGUGUAUUCAGUUUUGGAAACUCGACAAUUGUGCGGAUUCCAAACGAAUAAGACAAAAUCGAAUUCGUUCUUGUCCGCGCAAAGUGUACAGUGAAAACUGAUGAAGUAUUGAUCUUUAAUAAGUAGUUAAACUUAUUAUAUUUGUGACGUAAAUUAAAAACAUUGGAAGUAUAAGCUAUUGGAAAUCGUUAAGUAAUUGCAUUGCACAAAAAUUCACAAAACUUACAUGAAUGUUAAAAAUACAAAUUGGAUAAAAUGAUGUGUCCAGAUUUAAAAUGCUUUCUUUUCUAUUUCAAAAUUAUUUAUUCUUCUUACAAAAGUCCAUUGCUGUUAGAAAGCAAUAAAAGUCUGCUGCAAAAAUAUUUCUUAGAUAUUUCUAGAUAGCAUAUGUUGUAGCAAGUCCGCGUAUACGAAUUGGAUUUGAUCCAUUAUGCAGGAAUCGUCGUCUACCUUUAAAGCUACAUAGACUGACAGUGACAUGAUAUAGACAUUGGUAUACAAAGAUGAGCCUCUUUCAUUUUUCAUAGCGAUCAUCGAUAAAUUAUAACAGCAGCAAUCUUUUCUCCCAAAUCGAAGUUUUCGAGCUCUAUGUUAUUCGGUUUCUCGGUACGUAUGCCGACGUUUAUCUAUUUUCCAUGAACGAAAGUUCUACGUUUCGCAGCGAUUUAUUCUUACAUGUUAAUAAUCUAUCGAGCAUAUUGUGUAUUUGUUUAGUAUUAAAUCUUCGUCCGUGUCUCUUACUGAUGCAAGGUGGAACGAAUAAAAAAAAUUCAGUUAAUUUUAUGUAUAAUUUUGCACAUUCUUAUAUUAUUAUGUCGUUAUAUAAUUGUUAUAGGAAUGGAGCUUUUAACAUUUCUCAAGAAUUUAAUUAAAAGUACGUUGCUUCUUUGUACUUCGUGCAAUUUUAUAAAAAUCAUUAAAUAACAGUGAUAAAAUGAAACGUCAUUUGUCUUGUGCAGACCAAGAUUUAAACAUCAUCUAUGCUGCCUAAAAAUAUCUUUAGGUAUUUUCGCUUGCCAAAAUAUUAUUACCUGCGAAAAUGUCACAAAACUAUGCAGAAUGCAUCUCAAGCGAAAAUUAUCAGAAUUAAAGUAUAAAAUUUAUAUAUAUUUUUCUAUCAUAAAUUAAAAAAGAUACUCGAUACAAAUAUUAUGCUUUUUAAAAAGUAUCGCAAGAGUAACAAGAAAAUUAUAAUAAUGUUGAAAUAAUUCGAGUAUUUCAAUGUUAACAACACGGAAUUUUUGGAUAAUUAAACAGUUCGAAUAAUUUAAAAUAUGAAUUAUCUAGACUGUUCUAUCAAUGGAAAAUUACGCUAUUGCAAGCUAAACUGUAAUAAGUUACAGUAAACUUACUAUAAUAGAUACAUUAUUCGAGCUGAACUGCAGUAAUUGAGAGUCAAUCGAGAGAAGUGUCAACAAUAGAACGAACAGAACAUCCGCAAAUAGCAACGAGGUCGCAUACAUUGGCAGAAGUUUGGUAACAACACCAUCACCAACAACCGAAAGUAGUUGCAACGGUAAUAGUAGUAGUAGAGUAGUAACAACGUAAAUAGUAGUCCAACGGACACGCACAGUAGUGUAGUAGCAAAUGGUGAUGCUGGUGGAAAGGCAGAACACGGUGAUGAUUCGCGGUAAGCAACGUCGCGAUCGGCGGCGAAUGCCGAAGAGAGGUGUAGAAGAAGAAGAAGAACAAAAAGAGGAAACCUCUGGUGGCGA